ensembl:snoRNA
AGUUAAAAGAUUGUUGCAGGUGUGGCUGCUGUGUCACAUGUGUGCCAGUAGGUGGAAGAGAGGAGUCAGGCUAUGUCUACACUCAAUGUUCUGACCUGCGGACAUCUGAAUGAACAGUAUUCUAUUACU